rnacentral:rRNA from 1 species
UUAAGCGACUAAGCGUACACGGUGGAUGCCCUGGCAGUCAGAGGCGAUGAAGGACGUGCUAAUCUGCGAUAAGCGUCGGUGAGGUGAUAUGAACCGUUAUAACCGGCGAUUUCCGAAUGGGGAAACCCAGUGUGUUUCGACACACUAUCAUUAACUGAAUCCAUAGGUUAAUGAGGCGAACCGGGGGAACUGAAACAUCUAAGUACCCCGAGGAAAAGAAAUCAACCGAGAUUCCCCCAGUAGCGGCGAGCGAACGGGGAGGAGCCCAGAGCCUGAAUCAGUGUGUGUGUUAGUGGAAGCGUCUGGAAAGGCGCGCGAUACAGGGUGACAGCCCCGUACACAAAAAUGCACAUACUGUGAGCUCGAUGAGUAGGGCGGGACACGUGGUAUCCUGUCUGAAUAUGGGGGGACCAUCCUCCAAGGCUAAAUACUCCUGACUGACCGAUAGUGAACCAGUACCGUGAGGGAAAGGCGAAAAGAACCCCGGCGAGGGGAGUGAAAAAGAACCUGAAACCGUGUACGUACAAGCAGUGGGAGCCUCUUAAUGGGGUGACUGCGUACCUUUUGUAUAAUGGGUCAGCGACUUAUAUUCUGUAGCAAGGUUAACCGAAUAGGGGAGCCGAAGGGAAACCGAGUCUUAACUGGGCGUUAAGUUGCAGGGUAUAGACCCGAAACCCGGUGAUCUAGCCAUGGGCAGGUUGAAGGUUGGGUAACACUAACUGGAGGACCGAACCGACUAAUGUUGAAAAAUUAGCGGAUGACUUGUGGCUGGGGGGGAAAGGCCAAUCAAACCGGGAGAUAGCUGGUUCUCCCCGAAAGCUAUUUAGGUAGCGCCUCGUGAAUUCAUCUCCGGGGGUAGAGCACUGUUUCGGCAAGGGGGUCAUCCCGACUUACCAACCCGAUGCAAACUGCGAAUACCGGAGAAUGUUAUCACGGGAGACACACGGCGGGUGCUAACGUCCGUCGUGAAGAGGGAAACAACCCAGACCGCCAGCUAAGGUCCCAAAGUCAUGGUUAAGUGGGAAACGAUGUGGGAAGGCCCAGACAGCCAGGAUGUUGGCUUAGAAGCAGCCAUCAUUUAAAGAAAGCGUAAUAGCUCACUGGUCGAGUCGGCCUGCGCGGAAGAUGUAACGGGGCUAAACCAUGCACCGAAGCUGCGGCAGCGACGCUUAUGCGUUGUUGGGUAGGGGAGCGUUCUGUAAGCCUGUGAAGGUGGCCUGUGAGGGUUGCUGGAGGUAUCAGAAGUGCGAAUGCUGACAUAAGUAACGAUAAAGCGGGUGAAAAGCCCGCUCGCCGGAAGACCAAGGGUUCCUGUCCAACGUUAAUCGGGGCAGGGUGAGUCGACCCCUAAGGCGAGGCCGAAAGGCGUAGUCGAUGGGAAACAGGUUAAUAUUCCUGUACUUGGUGUUACUGCGAAGGGGGGACGGAGAAGGCUAUGUUGGCCGGGCGACGGUUGUCCCGGUUUAAGCGUGUAGGCUGGUUUUCCAGGCAAAUCCGGAAAACCAAGGCUGAGGCGUGAUGACGAGGCACUACGGUGCUGAAGCGACAAAUGCCCUGCUUCCAGGAAAAGCCUCUAAGCAUCAGGUAACAUUAAAUCGUACCCCAAACCGACACAGGUGGUCAGGUAGAGAAUACCAAGGCGCUUGAGAGAACUCGGGUGAAGGAACUAGGCAAAAUGGUGCCGUAACUUCGGGAGAAGGCACGCUGAUAUGUAGGUGAAGCGACUUGCUCGUGGAGCUGAAAUCAGUCGAAGAUACCAGCUGGCUGCAACUGUUUAUUAAAAACACAGCACUGUGCAAACACGAAAGUGGACGUAUACGGUGUGACGCCUGCCCGGUGCCGGAAGGUUAAUUGAUGGGGUUAGCGGUAACGCGAAGCUCUUGAUCGAAGCCCCGGUAAACGGCGGCCGUAACUAUAACGGUCCUAAGGUAGCGAAAUUCCUUGUCGGGUAAGUUCCGACCUGCACGAAUGGCGUAAUGAUGGCCAGGCUGUCUCCACCCGAGACUCAGUGAAAUUGAACUCGCUGUGAAGAUGCAGUGUACCCGCGGCAAGACGGAAAGACCCCGUGAACCUUUACUAUAGCUUGACACUGAACAUUGAGCCUUGAUGUGUAGGAUAGGUGGGAGGCUUUGAAGUGUGGACGCCAGUCUGCAUGGAGCCGACCUUGAAAUACCACCCUUUAAUGUUUGAUGUUCUAACGUGGGCCCCUUACCGGGGUUGCGGACAGUGUCUGGUGGGUAGUUUGACUGGGGCGGUCUCCUCCUAAAGAGUAACGGAGGAGCACGAAGGUUGGCUAAUCCUGGUCGGACAUCAGGAGGUUAGUGCAAUGGCAUAAGCCAGCUUGACUGCGAGCGUGACGGCGCGAGCAGGUGCGAAAGCAGGUCAUAGUGAUCCGGUGGUUCUGAAUGGAAGGGCCAUCGCUCAACGGAUAAAAGGUACUCCGGGGAUAACAGGCUGAUACCGCCCAAGAGUUCAUAUCGACGGCGGUGUUUGGCACCUCGAUGUCGGCUCAUCACAUCCUGGGGCUGAAGUAGGUCCCAAGGGUAUGGCUGUUCGCCAUUUAAAGUGGUACGCGAGCUGGGUUUAGAACGUCGUGAGACAGUUCGGUCCCUAUCUGCCGUGGGCGCUGGAGAACUGAGGGGGGCUGCUCCUAGUACGAGAGGACCGGAGUGGACGCAUCACUGGUGUUCGGGUUGUCAUGCCAAUGGCACUGCCCGGUAGCUAAAUGCGGAAGAGAUAAGUGCUGAAAGCAUCUAAGCACGAAACUUGCCCCGAGAUGAGUUCUCCCUGACUCCUUGAGAGUCCUGAAGGAACGUUGAAGACGACGACGUUGAUAGGCCGGGUGUGUAAGCGCAGCGAUGCGUUGAGCUAACCGGUACUAAUGAACCGUGAGGCUUAACCUU